rnacentral:rRNA from 1 species
UACGGAGGAUGCAAGCGUUAUCCGGAAUGAUUGGGCGUAAAGCGUCCGCAGGUGGCUAUGUAAGUCUGCUGUUAAAGAGUGGGGCUCAACCUCAUAAGAGCAGUGGAAACUACAUGGCUAGAGUGCGUUCGGGGCAGAGGGAAUUCCUGGUGUAGCGGUGAAAUGCGUAGAGAUCAGGAAGAACACCGGUGGCGAAAGCGCUCUGCUAGGCCGCAACUGACACUCAUGGACGAAAGCUAGGGGAGCGAAUGGG